AGUGUGUACUUACGUCACCUGUAAUUGUUCGUUCCCUUUUGUAAAUAAUUAAGGGGCCGAACAAUUCCAGACGAUGUUUGAACAGACU
rnacentral:pre_miRNA from 1 species